GAGAUAAGAGUUUAAUGUGUUUGAUAAAGCAACCCUCUAUUUUUUCCCAUUGUCUUCUAUUUUAAAAGAUUGCCAACAUUUAACAUGAAAUAAUGCCUUUAACACUAAUGAAGUAAAGUUAUAGUAAAUAACCAUAUUAAAAAAAAAAAAAGUGUUCAACCCUAUGGGAAGAAUAUGAGAAAGAUUUAAUUUGCUCUCUACUUGGCUUCAAAUGUGAGCACCUCUUAUUUUUUGUUAUUUCUAGAAAGUGAACAUAUGGGUGCUGUAGGCUGAGAUCUGAUGCUGCAGAAACAUUGUUCCUUCACACUGAAAAUUCUCUCCUUCCAAUGACUUUGGUAGGGCAGAAAAAAUGGCAGUUUUGUUAAAUUAGCUGAAGAACCUCAACUCUCCUUAAAUUGCUUCUUUCAGUGCGCACAUGUGUUGCUGCUGAGAAAGUGCUGGAUGGGAGUGCAUCUUGCCAUGUACCGAGAAGAAAGAUGAGCAUGAAGGAGGCCUUGAAGGACAAAUGUGACUGCAGCCUGUCAGUGUCUUCUCUGGCUGGAGCUGACAUACUGUUCCUAAUGACUCUGGCACGUUCACCCAGAAAAAGGGAUGUACAGUUGUACUUCUUUGUGGAGUCUGCUCUUCCUUGGCACUCUGAGUCACGGUGACGUGGCUGGGACAUAUCAGAGCUUGUCCGUGGUCUGGCAGCUGACCUCGGGAGGACAGGAGGGAGCUCGUGCCAGGCAGCCUCAGCACCCACAGGCAUCCAGGAAAUAAAACCUUGCUGACAUCAGCCACCAAUAGCGAGCAAAAAGCCAGCACAAGCCGUUGGUUUGGAGGGCCCCCAUGCUGUCACCCCCACCCUGCCUGCCAGGUUCUGGAAGUCUCACAGUGGCUCCGCUGUCCAUAUGGCCAGCUCAUAGCAUGGGAUGGAGCUGUGUCCUGCAACUGAAUCAUCUUGAAGGUGAGAGUGUGCU